rnacentral:rRNA from 1 species
AGUGAACGCUGGCGGUAGGCCUAACACAUGCAAGUCGAACGGCAGCACAGUAAGAGCUUGCUCUUACGGGUGUCGAGUGGCGGACGGUUGAGGAAUACAUCGGAAUCUACUUUUUCGUGGGGGAUAACGUAGGGAAACUUACGCUAAUACCGCAUACGACCUACGGGUGAAAGCAGGGGAUCUUCGGACCUUGCGCGAUUGAAUGAGCCGAUGUCGGUUUAGCUAGUUGGCGGGGUAGAGGCCCACCAAGGCGACGAUCCGUAGCUGGUCCGAGAGGAUGGACAGCCACACUGGAACUGAGGCACGGUCCAGACUCCUACGGGGGGCAGCAGUGGAGAAUAUUGGGCAAUGGGGGCGAGCCUGAUCCAGCCAUACCGCGUGGGUGAAGAAGGCCUUCGGGUUGUAAAGCCCUUUUGUUGGGAAAGAAAAGCAGCAGGUUAAUACCCCGCUGUUCUGACGGUACCCAAAGAAUAAGCACCGGCUAACUUCGUG